GGGGCGGCCACCCUCCGUCCGCUCCAGCACGCUCCUGCCAGAUCACCCAGCGUGAAAGGGAGGAAUUGUUCCCGCGACCUUUGCUUGCCUUGUCAAAGGCGAUUUCGGCAAGUGCCGUCUCUCUUGCCUGAAGGCCGGGCCAGCCCUGGUUCCCCUCUCCCAAAGGGACUGAAAGGGCCCUCUUGGCACCUGGGGGAAGUUCAGCUCACAACCGGAAAAGCAGCGGGUCAAGGUUCCCAGAGGAUGAAAUGUCAGCCUCCGGCGGCAGUGACAUUCACCCAGAAGCACUAAAAAUAGACUCGAAGACAGAAGCAUCGAGUCUCUGGAGGCUGGAGGCAUAAGAUGAGGAAACUGGGACUCAAAGAAGGGAAGCAUUUGGCGAAAGACACAAGAGAAAAUGGCAGACCUGAGGCUCAGACAGGAGCAGAUGACCAUCUGAAACGUUGCUUGCAUGGAGAAAUCUGCUUCAACAUGGCGGCUGUGCUGAGAAUGGAAACCAGGUUCCAGAA